CCUACGGGGGGCAGCAGUGGGGGAUAUUGCACAAUGGGGGAAACCCUGAUCCAGUGACGCCGCGUGAGUGAAGAAGUAUUUCGUUACGUAAAGCUCUAUCAGCAGGGAAGAAACUGACGGUACCUGAGUAAGAAGCCCCGGCUAACUACGUGCCAGCAGCCGCGGUAAUACGUAGGGGGCAAGCGUUAUCCGGAUUUACUGGGUGUAAAGGGAGCGUAGACGGCGAAGAAAGUCUGAAGUGAAAGCCCGCGGCUCAACCGCGGAACUGCUUUGGAAACUUUGUUGCUGGAGUACCGGAGAGGAUAGCGGAAUUCCAGGUGUAGGAGUGAAAUCCGUAGAUAUCUGGAGGAACAUCAGUGGCGAAGGCGACUAUCUGGACCAUAACUGACGUUGAGGAGCGAAGGCGUGGGUAGCAAACAGGAUUAGAUACCCUUGUAGUC
rnacentral:rRNA from 1 species